UAUUGUAAAGUGACGAAAUGUGUUUAUUAUCAGCUCCUUUGUAAGGCUAACAACCAGAAAAUCAUUUUUGCAUCAUCUUGAAGCAGAAAGUUGCAAAGCAAUAAAUUGAUGAUGAAUUCAGUUUUCUGCCGAGACUCAGCACCACAGAUGUGAUAAGUUCAUUGUGUUGAUACAUUUCAAACACCCCUUCCUUAUUCAAUGAGAAAGUAAUUCAGGCAUUUUACAUUCCAUAACUACAAUUGAAAUCGGUUUGGAGUACUGUUUUAGUGACUUUUGGAGCACUACAUGUAAUCCAAUACCUUUUUCCAAUCUGCCAAAAGUAACUUGACUACCGGUUGUUGCCGGAAGAUUUAUGGCUGUGGCUUUUAUAACUGAUGCUCUUAGAAGAUAUGGACAAUACCUUGAGUAGGACCAGAUUCUAUCGAAAAUGGGAGCAAUUUUCCAGAGCGUUUUUUGACGUCUUGGAAGUUUUACAACGGAUCCCUCUUAACCCACCAAGGAAAGAUCCAACACCCUUCUUGAGCCUCUGCUGAGGCCAGCAAGGAAAACCGACCCAAUCUCAAUUUGUCUCACACAUCAUCCUGGUCAAUGCGAUCAAUGCAGGCCAUGGCCAUUUUUGGGGUGGGAAUUCCCCUCAAGUUUUACAACCUUUUUCUCUCUCCCUGUGCUUCGGGUGCGAGUGAGCCCCUAAAUUGAUACUUCCAAAACCAACCAACCAGCACUAACCAUAUGGAGAGAAAAAAGACAGACCAUAGACCAAGGAGAUGCCCAAGAACCAACCAAUCAUCCGAGGUGAUCCAAAUCUGUGUCGGUAAAAAGUUUCCCAUUGUAAACCCGGACAACAACUGUCGCCAAUCAAGCCGGGCUUUGACGUUUCUAUUUUGAAUUACACACUCGCGACGAACACCAUGA